AAAAUGGAAUUAAAUGUGUGUGUGUUGCCAUAUGUAUCAACAACAUAGUGACUGAGCCAACCAGCCUGUGCAAAGAGGCCGUUAUAUAUUAUUGUGAGGGAGGUCAAAUGACACACCUGCAAUUACAGCUUGUCACCACUAUGUGCCGCCAAAACACCAAAGGCAAUAAAACUGUGUGUGUGCAUGUGUAUAUGAGAGAGAGAGUAAAAUCUCCAUAAUCCAGAACAGGUGAUCCAAAAAUAAAGCGGUUGGUGCUGCAGCUCCUGUUGUAAAGUGCUGCUGUAAUUACAUACAGCACAGAGAACUUUCUAUCAUAGAGGUUUUCUAUCAAGGGGCAGUCCACUAUAAUACACAAAAAAGAGCAUAACACCAUGCAAAGCUUGUUUUAUUUUCACCAUUAAACAUAAAGAAUCAUAAAGUUAGUGUUGUGACUCAUUCUGCUGUGUGAUUUUACUUUUCAGUGGGACCACUAAUGACACAACAAUGGGUGUAUAUAAAGAAAUGGAGGUGUCAUGUGCCAUUAAAACUGGAAUAAAAAACACCAAGUGUGCUGUGACACUGCAGCUCAGUCAAAGAGUUCAUCCAUGUUGCAUCCUCCAUACCCUCUGCGCAGCCAGCAAAAACUCCUCGGACAUCCACGUGGUGGGACAAAAGAUAGACAGGCUGAAUCAACUGCAUUCCAAUGAGUGCAGCAGCGAUCCAGGAGAGAAAAACAGCUGCAUUUAUACUGGCCCGACCAGCCCAACAUGUAACAACUCUGCGGCUGCAUAUGAGGUUCCACCAAGCAAUCUGAGCACCUGUCCUGCAACCAACAGAACCUGCAGCUGCUCUGCCUACUGCAACAGAUCUGGUAAGUGUCUGAACAUACCAGGAAAUAAUCCCUGUAAAUGUCUGCCUGAAUUCUAACCAGUUUGUUUUCUUCCCUAGAUGCAUACUACACUUUUGAGAUUUUAGUGCAAGAUCCCAUGAUGAACUUCUCCUAUGUCUCAUCCCUGG
rnacentral:lncRNA from 1 species